GUGGAGAGCACAUGCAAAGACUGAAUGAGAAAUUGGUCCCAUGAAUGGAUUAUUCGUUUUCAUUUUUAUAAUUAUUUAAUUUUUACAAGUGUGAGUAAUUAGAUGCAACAUUGUCCUAAGAUUUGCAGAUUAUAAUCAUGUUUACCAUGCGUCAUUGUAUAUUUCUACAUAAAUUAGAUGCACGACGAGUUUAAUUUGUUUUUAGUUUAAUUUUUUUUAUAUAUUACUUUUUUCCCAUAUCUUAUACUAUUGAAAUUGAGUAUUGACAGAUCGUCUACUGCCUAUGGGUAAGCCUAACAAAUUGUAUUUUGCGCUGUAACAGAUCAUGCAGGUUAGUAACGUGUCUUUAAUGAUUAUGUGUUGUGGGGCAGGUGUUAUUUAAUGAACUCCCGAAAACUUCCGAAUUAAAAGUAAAUUUUCCUUAAGAGGGUAUACAUCGGUAAUUGUGUAUCUAGAUCUUUUAUAGCACAUAUACAGCAAAUAUUCCAUGAAAGGAUAUGAACGUAAAAGGGACGUACUCUUUGGGGCGAAGGACCCAGGUUCGUAACCGGAAGUUCAACUUUCGAUACAAAUAAACAAAAAUCUUGGAAAUCUUGAACAGAGACAAUACCCGGAGUUAAGAAGCAGUAGCCAAAAGAAAUCAUUGCUAAAUGUUAGCUUGCUGGUGGAUUUAAGCAAAUAUUAUCAUUAUCUGUAUAUAUCCGGCUAUAAAUUUUGCGUGUACCUACACAUUUGUGUACUAAAAAUUGUCCAGAGUCGUUCAUCACAGUGUCAUGUAUACAUUUUUUAGUUGCUACUACUCUCUAGCCUAGACUAGGUCGAUAUGGUAUGAAUAGUUCAGUUAAAUCAAGAAUUUAGCCAUAUGUAAACAGGCCACAGCUUGAAUUAUUGUUGUAAUAACUCAAUUAUAUACUAAUAUUACACUAUGUUACUAUCAACUGACUAUGGAUUUAAGUUUAAUAAAUAUAUAAAUCUGUAUACAUUGUGUAUAUACUAAUUUUGAAUUAUUUUUUUUUUAAAUUAUUGUAACUAUUAUCGACACAACUACAUGUAUGAGUAUACAUAAUUUUUAAUUGUUAUUGUUUCUUUGUACAGUCAUUUGGUUUUCUUAUGUCAAUGCUAUGUAGAAUGGUGGAACUAAUAUUUACUUUUUGUUGAGUUGUAGCACAAUGUUGGGUAGAUCAGUUAGAGACCUUGCUCGGCCACAGAACACGGCCAAGGGUUGUAACAGUUGGACCAGAGACUUGGACAACAAGGACACACUAGUUUUUACAGAUGGGUUACCAGACUGGACUGGAUUCACGACUCAUCACGCCACUAACUCAACUCCUUUGGUCACCUACAUUUGUACAUUGAAUCAUCAUCAGAUGUUAUUUAUGCCAACCCCUAGAGCUUUGCAUUGGUAUGAUCCAGUUGAGAAUUUUUCAGGUAAUCGUCAGAUUUACUAGUUAAAAGCAGUAUAUUACUUUUAAGUUAAACCCCCGCAUGUACAAAAUGUACAUGUGAUUACAACAUAUAACAAACAUAUUUAUAUAGAUUAAGACAACUUUUUCUAAUCUUAUGGGUUAGAUUGAAAAGAUUUGUGUAACGUUUAUAUCUCAGUUUCUAAACUUAAAAUUGCUGAAUGUGUUACUUUUACAAAUUUAUAUGGCCUUACAAUGAUGGGAUGCCGCAUCAUGUGUUUGAAAUAAAAAACUUUCGUAAAUAUGAGGUUACAUUCUAUAUAAUUGUUAUAUAAUAUAUUAAAUGAAUUUUGAAUGGAGGACGC
rnacentral:lncRNA from 1 species